ensembl:lncRNA
GCCCGCUCUAAAAACUCAGAAAAACAUAUGCUCUCAGUCCUUGAUGAAGGCAAUGAGCCAUGAAGGAACUACAUGGCGGCACAGUAGAGGCUUUGACCUCUAAAAUUAUAUCCUUUGCAUGUUUCUAUUCAAUUUCCCUAGAAAAAGAAAAACAUAAAUAUGUAAAGUCUUGUACAUAAAGGUCAUGUACAUUUAUUUAGGUUGUAAAAUGCAUAUUAAUUACACUACCAGAAGAAAAGAGACUAUAAUACAUGCAUCAGGCAUAACAUUAUGACCACUGAUGGGUGAAUAACACUGAUUAUCUCUUCAUCAUGGCACCUGUUAAUGGGUGGGUUAUAUUAGGGAUCAAAUCGACGUUUUUUUUUCUUCUUCUCAAAGCUGAUGCAUUAAAAGCAGGAAAAAAUUGUCAAGUGUAAGGAUUUGAAUGAGUCUGAAAAGGGCCACUCAGUGUUAGACAGGUGGUCAUAAUCUUAUGCCUGAUCUGUGCAUGUUCUUAGCACAAUGGUGCAAACGUUGCCUCAGAGCUAGAAGGUUCGUGAUUCAAAUCCCAGUUGGGAUUCUCCGAGCAUGCUCUCCGUGUGCCUGAAGGUUGACUCCGGCUUCCUCCUAAAAACAGGCAUAUUAGGUUAACUGGUGAUUCAAACUUAGGGUCGAAUUAAAAAUAUGUGCUUUUGUUUUAUAUUAUAAUGCAAUAAAAUAUAUGGGUAAAAAGACUGGUUGUCUAAAGGGGUUUGAGUGAUUGAUAAGAAAGAAAAUGCUGCAUAAAUAAGCGCAGCAGUAGGCGUUAAUAGUUUAAGAUGCUAUAAUAAAGCAAAACCGUAGCUGUGAGAACACGUUUCAUGUGGGGGUGUUGUGAGGAUGAUACAAUAUGUGUGACUUUAGGAUGACACCCUCAGCACCAUAUGAAAAAUAUCAGAAUAAAUACGUUGAAAAAUACAGUUCAUAUAAAUUUAAAGCUCAUAUUUGUCUGUGAAGGGAAAACCAUGUAAGAAAACAUAUUAAAGGUUGCACAGACAUAUUGCAGCUGGACACCAUAUAAAAGGCAGAUUUCCACAAAUGCUGAUAAAACAGUUACCAAAUAAGCUGUUAUUUAAUAUGGAUACUGAUCAUAAGACAACAUAUAUAGGCAAAGUAAACAACAACGGUUAUAACUUAUGAAAGGCAGUUUCAUUGUGUGUGUGUAUAUAUAUAUAUAU